rnacentral:rRNA from 1 species
UACGUAGGUGGCAAGCGUUAUCCGGAUUCACUGGGCGUAAAGAGCGCGUAGGUGGUUCUUCAAGUCAGAUGUUAAAUCUCCCGGCUUAACUGGGAGUUGUCAUCUGAUACUGCUGGACUUGAGGGCGGUAGAGGGAGGUGGAAUUCCCGGUGUAGUGGUGAAAUGCGUAGAUAUCGGGAGGAACACCAGUGGCGAAAGCGGCCUCCUAGGCCGUUCCUGACACUGAGGCGCGAAAGCGUGGGGAG